UACGUAGGGGGCCAGCGUUGUCCGGAUUUAUUGGGCGUAAAGAGCGUGUAGGCGGCCAGGUAGGUCUGGUGUGAAAACUCGAGGCUCAACCUCGAGAUGUCAUCGGAAACCAUCUGGCUAGAGUCCGGAAGAGGAGAUUGGAAUUCCUGGUGUAGCGGUGAAAUGCGCAGAUAUCAGGAAGAACACCUAUGGCGAAGGCAGCUCUCUGGGACGGUACUGACGCUGAGACGCGAAAGCGUGGGGAGCGAACAGG
rnacentral:rRNA from 1 species